rnacentral:rRNA from 1 species
AGAGUUUGAUCAUGGCUCAGAUUGAACGCUGGCGGAAUGCUUUACACAUGCAAGUCGAACGGCAGCACGGAGAGCUUGCUCUCUGGUGGCGAGUGGCGAACGGGUGAGUAAUAUAUCGGAACGUGUCCAAUAAUGGGGGAUAACGAGUCGAAAGAUUCGCUAAUACCGCAUACGCCCUACGGGGGAAAGCAGGGGAUCGUAAGACCUUGCGUUAAUGGAGCGGCCGAUAUCUGAUUAGCUUGUUGGUGAGGUAAAGGCUCACCAAGGCGACGAUCAGUAGCUGGUUUGAGAGAACGACCAGCCACACUGGAACUGAGACACGGUCCAGACUCCUACGGGAGGCAGCAGUGGGGAAUUUUGGACAAUGGGGGCAACCCUGAUCCAGCCAUUCCGCGUGAGUGAAGAAGGCCUUCGGGUUGUAAAGCUCUUUCGCAAGGGAAGAAAACUUAUGAUCGAAUAAAUCAUGAGGUUGACGGUACCUUGAUAAGAAGCACCGGCUAACUACGUGCCAGCAGCCGCGGUGAUACGUAGGGUGCGAGCGUUAAUCGGAAUUACUGGGCGUAAAGCGUGCGCAGGCGGUUUUGUAAGUCGGAUGUGAAAUCCCCGGGCUCAACCUGGGAACUGCGUUCGAAACUGCAAGGCUAGAGUGUGUCAGAGGGGGGUAGAAUUCCACGUGUAGCAGUGAAAUGCGUAGAGAUGUGGAGGAAUACCAAUGGCGAAGGCAGCCCCCUGGGAUAACACUGACGCUCAUGCACGAAAGCGUGGGGAGCAAACAGGAUUAGAUACCCUGGUAGUCCACGCCCUAAACGAUGUCAACUAGUUGUUGGUAGAGUAAA